GGUACGAGGUCGUGUGGUAGAGCAUCAUGCUAAAAACGUGAAGGUUGUGAGUUCGAGUCUUACCGUGACCA